CACGCGUAAAAGGGAAACGGGAAUACCCCGUGCGGAGGUGAUGCCGUGUUGUAAUGCACUUUAAACCGGACACCGGACUCCUUUACAUCGACGGCAUAUGGAGCGGCUGCUGCUUGGUGCUUCGUUUUCCGUGAAAGGACUUUCCGUGAGCGGAAAACUGCGCAGGAAGAAGGACCGAGAAACGAUCGAAACAAUCGGUUUACCCACCACGUUAGCAACUGUCAAAGCAGCUGCCAUCAUCAUUCGGUGGUCUGACGGAUAGUGGUUGCGCUUCGGUAACAACAACACGGCCAGAACGCUCCUGCCCCGGGGUCACCCUGUGUGAGGAAAGCGCACAGCCCUCACGAACACGCAGUCAACGCGGAGCUGUCAGGAUGCUUUCGGUUGUACACAAAGGUGUUUUUAUUUAUUUAUUUUUUAAAGAAAGGUGCUGAUCGUUUAGAAAGAAAGGUACGAUUUAUUUAUUUUAUUUAGAAAGAAAGGUGCUGAUCGUCUGACCUAUGCGCCGGCCUUUGGUGUGAAGUGAAGAUGAAGGAAGUCCUGGGUGAGCAUGGGCUGCAGCUAAAUCACUGGUUCCAGGGCAAGGAGGCGGGAACCAGCUUCACUCGAUGUACCCUUGUGCUCGCUGUAUACAUGCGAGGAGAAGGAUGAAUUGCCGGGGACUCGAAGUUCGUUUCACCGAACUCAAGAGGGGCACAAUGAUUGGCACGGAUCAGAGCACAGUACACACAGUGGUGCACUGGGCAUCAAGCUGUCUCUUCCGUUCUUCUUGGCGACAUCGAUCGAUGAGCAGCAAUGAAGUCCAAGCAAAGGCCCAGCACCAGCAUCGCCUUCCAGCAACCGAUGAAGAACCUGACUGACAUCCUGGAUCCUGAAGCAACGCCACACCAUCCGGUCGAUCGGUAGGCGACGGGCGGAUGAUGUUUGUCCUUCCAAAUGCUGGGAACUACUAGAGGGUGUAGGGCGCCCGGCUUUCUCUCCAUCUUCCACCGUUUGGCGAAUCAUUUGGCGUGGUACACCGUUGCGGCGUAGAUGUUUACCGAAUACAUAUGCCUAGGAAGCCAAUACAUAUACCCUGACCUGAUCAUUCA